AUGACCUGGGCUCGUCUCUUUCUUACACUCCUCAUUCAUUGCACAGGAUCCUGGGCACAAUAUAUGCUGAUUCAACCACCCUCAGUGUCUGGGGAUCUGGGCCAGCAGAUCACCAUCUCCUGCACUAGAAGCAGCAACAACGGUGGCUUCUGUGUACACUGGUACCAACAACUCCCAGGAACAGCUCCCAAACUCCUCAUUCAUGGGGAUAGCAACCGACACUCAGGGGUUUCUGAUCGAUUCUCUUACUCCAACUCUGGCAACUCAGCCUCCCUGACCAUUACUGGGCUGCAGCCUGAGGACGAGGCUAUUUAUCACUGUCAGUCCUAUGAUGACAGCCUCAGUGGGGGAUUAUUAGAUACUGGCUCUGAACUGACA